AUGCAAGUCGAGCGGCAGCACGGGGAGCUUGCUCCCUGGUGGCGAGCGGCGGACGGGUGAGUAAUGCAUAGGAAUCUGCCCGGUAGUGGGGGACCAUGUGGGGAAACCCACGCUAAUACCGCAUACGUCCUACGGGAGAAAGCGGAGGAUCUUCGGACUUCGCGCUAUCUGAUGAGCCUAUGUCGGAUUAGCUGGUUGGUAAGGUAACGGCUUACCAAGGCGACGAUCCGUAGCUGGUCUGAGAGGAUGAUCAGCCACACUGGGACUGAGACACGGCCCAUACUCCUACGGGAGGCAGCAGUGGGGAAUAUUGGACAAUGGGCGAAAGCCUGAUCCAGCCAUGCCGCGUGUGUGAAGAAGGCUUUCGGGUUGUAAAGCACUUUCAGCGAGGAAGAAAGCCUGUCGGUUAAUACCCGGCAGGAACGACAUCACUCGCAGAAGAAGCACCGGCUAACUCCGUGCCAGCAGCCGCGGUAAUACGGAGGGUGCGAGCGUUAAUCGGAAUUACUUGGAUUUCUGGGGCGUAAAGCGCGCGUAAGUGGCUUGGCACGCCGGUUGUGAAAGCCCCGGGCUCAACCUGGGAACGGCAUCCGGAACGGCCAGGCUAGAGUGCAGGAAAGGAAGGUAGAAUUCCCGGUGUAGCGGUGAAAUGCGUAAAGAUCGGGAGGAAUACCAGUGGCGAAGGCGGCCUUCUGGCCUGACACUGACACUGAGGUGCGAAAGCGUGGGUAGCAAACAGGAUUAGAUACCCUGGUAGUCCACGCCGUAAACGAUGUCCACUAGCCGUUGGGACCUUUAAGGACUUAGUGGCGCAGUUAACGCGAUAAGUCGACCGCCUGGGGAGUACGGCCGCAAGGUUAAAACUCAAAUGAAUUGACGGGGGCCCGCACAAGCGGUGGAGCAUGUGGUUUAAUUCGAUGCAACGCGAAGAACCUUACCUACCCCUUGACAUCCUGCGAACCCCGGAAGAAAUUCCGGGGGUGCCUUUCGGAAACGCAGUGACAGGUGCCUGCAUGGGCUGUCGUCAGCUCGUGUUGGUGAAAUGGUUGGGGUUAAGUCCCCGUAACGAGCGCAACCCCUUGUCCUUAUUUGGCCAGCGAUUUCGGUCCGGGAACUCUAAAGGAGAACUGCCGGUGACAACCCGGAGGAAAGGUGGGGGACGACGUCCAGUCAUCAUGGCCCUUACGGGUAGGGCUACACACGUGCUACAAUGGCCGGUACAAAGGGUUGCGAGACCGCGAGGUGGAGCGAAUCCCAGAAAGCCGGCCUCAGUCCGGAUCGGAGUCUGCAACUCGACUCCGUGAAGUCGGAAUCGCUAGUAAUCGUGAAUCAGAAUGUCACGGUGAAUACGUUCCCGGGCCUUGUACACACCGCCCGUCACACCAUGGGAGUGGACUGCACCAGAAGUGGUUAGCUUAACCUUCGGGAGACCG
rnacentral:rRNA from 1 species